CCAGACUCCUACGGGAGGCAGCAGUGGGGAAUCUUCCGCAAUGGGCGAAAGCCUGACGGAGCAACGCCGCGUGAGUGAUGACGGCCUUCGGGUUGUAAAACUCUGUGAUCCGGGACGAAAAGGCAGAGUGCGAAGAACAAACUGCAUUGACGGUACCGGAAAAGCAAGCCACGGCUAACUACGUGCCAGCAGCCGCGGUAAUACGUAGGUGGCAAGCGUUGUCCGGAGUGACUGGGCGUAAAGAGUUGCGUAGGCGGUUGUAUAAGUGAAUAGUGAAAUCUGGUGGCUCAACCAUACAGGCUAUUGUUCAAACUGUACAACUUGAGAGUGGUAGAGGUCACUGGAAUUUCUUGUGUAGGAGUGAAAUCCGUAGAUAUAAGAAGGAACACCAGUGGCGUAGGCAGGUGACUGGACCAUUUCUGACGCUAAGGCACGAAAGCGUGGGGAGCGAACCGGAUUAGAUACCCUGGUAGUCCACGCAGUAAACGAUGAAUACUAGAUUUUUGCGAUAUAGUGUAAGAGUCUAAGCGAAAGCGAUAAGUAUUCCACCUGGGGAGUACGCCGGCAACGGUGAAACUCAAAGGAAUUGACGGGGGCCCGCACAAG
rnacentral:rRNA from 1 species